rnacentral:misc_RNA from 1 species
UUUCCGUAGCCUAUUGAAGCCUGACACGGCGACUUGAAAAACAAUCGUGGAGUCUACAUUGAACAAAGUUCAAGUGGGCGAUGCCAAAGAAGUGCUGGGAAUCUUUAACAAGAACGCCAGCAGCCAUCGGGGCCCGUUCAUCCGGGCUGAUGGUUCACAGAUCAAGUAGUGGCAGUCAUGGGCCAGCAGUCACCGAACUGCUUGCGCUUGUGAUGAAGAUAUGACCGGUCAGUGGCUGAACAAGCCAGCUGAGAAAACGUUCCGUAGGUGAACCUGCGGAAGGAUCAUUAAAGAGUAAGGGUCUCCGGGCCCGAUCUCCAACCCUUUGUUUAAUUACCAUGUUGCUUUGGCGGGCCCGUCUCACGACCGCCGGAAGUUUGGUCUCAACCAGACUUCUGGCCCGUGCCCGUCAGUGGCCCCUUCAAAUUCUUGAUUAAAUAUGAUGUCUUAGUUACAAACUUAAUAGUUAAAACUUUCAACAACGGAUCUCUUGGUUCUG